rnacentral:rRNA from 1 species
CGCACGUGUCUUCGGACGCGUGAGUGGCGCACGGUUGACCAACACGUGGGCACAUGCCCCCCCGUGGGGGAUAACGCGGCGAAAGCACUGCUAAUCCCGCAUACGCUCGCAAGAGGAAAGCGUGUUUACACGCGCAGGGAGAGUGGCCCGCGGCCCAUCAGGUCGUAGGUGGGGUAACGGCCUACCUAGCCGAUGACGGGUAGCUGGUCUGUGAGGACAGACAGCCAGACUGGGACUGAUACACGGCCCAGACUCCUACGGGAGGCAGC